UACGUAGGGUGCAAGCGUUGUCCGGAAUUAUUGGGCGUAAAGAGCUCGUAGGCGGCCUGUCGCGUCGGGAGUGAAAACUCAGGGCUUAACCCUGAGCCUGCUUCCGAUACGGGCAGACUAGAGGUAUGCAGGGGAGAACGGAAUUCCUGGUGUAGCGGUGGAAUGCGCAGAUAUCAGGAGGAACACCGGUGGCGAAGGCGGCAUCCUGGACCAAUUCUGACGCUGAGGAGCGAAAGCCAGGGGAGCAAACGGG
rnacentral:rRNA from 1 species